GCGUAAAUCCCGACUUCUGGAAGGGACGUAUUUAUUAGAUAAAAGGCCAGCCGGGCUCUGCAGACUGGCGUUGAAUCAUGAUAACUUCACGAAUCGCAUGGCCUCGUGCCGCGAGGUUCCAUUCAAAUUUCUGCCCAAUCAACUUUCGAUGUAGGGUUGGAGGCUUACAAGGGUGUUACCGGGUGAGGGAGGAUUAGGGUUCGUUUCGGAAGAGGAGCCUGAAAAAAUGGCUUACCCACUCCCCAAGGAAGGGGGGCGGGGCGCGCAAAUAACCCAAUCCCAAACACGGGGGAGGUGGGUGCAAAAUAAAAUAAAAAAUACGGGGCCUUCCAGGCCCGGGGAAUUGGAAAUGAGGUACAAAUCUAAAAUCCCCUUAACCGGAGGAUCCAUUUGGAGGGCAAAGUCCUGGGGGCCAAGCCAGCCCGCGGUAAUUCCCAGUCCCCAAUAAGCGUAAUAUUUUAAGUUUGUUGGCAGUUAAAAAAGCUCGGAAGUUGGGAUUUCGGGGGGGGGCCCUACGCGGUCCCCCCCCUUGGGGGGGUACCGGCUAGGGGCCCCCCCUUUUCUGGCCGGGGGACGGGGGUCCCUGGGGUUUCUAUUUGUUUGGGAAUUCGAAGCCGCGGGGGGUUUCCUUUUGAGGAAAAUAAAGAGGGGUUCCAAAGCAAGGCCCUCACCCCCCUGAAAAAAAUUAGCAAUGGGAAAAAACAACGAAUAAGGACCUCUUGGCCGCAAUCUUUGUUGUCCUGUUAGAACCGCGCAUAAAUUGAUUUAAGAAGGGACCAGUUCGGGGGGCAUCUCGUUAAUUCAUAUGGUCAGCAGGGGGAAAAUUCUUUGGUGUUUAUUGAAAAGACGAACAUACCUGCGCGCAAGACUUUUGCUC
rnacentral:rRNA from 1 species